UGUGUAUAUGUGCUAUUAUAUUGUAUAUGUUUAUUAGUAGUUUGUGGUAUAGUGUAUGAUACCAAUGAAUGGGGGCUGUGUAUGGGGGCUGCUUGUGGAAUAGUAUGUGUGCAUGGAAAUGUCACGUUGUGUGUUCGGUAGUGUGUGUAUGUGUGGGGCUGUUUGGGGUAUUGUAUGUGAGAGGCUGCAUAUGGGGUUGUGUGCAUGUAUGUGGAUUGUUAGUGGUGUUGAGUUUGUGCAGAUAGUGUGUAUGUUUGUGUGUGGGCUGUUUGCAAUAUUUGUAUGGGGGAUGGUUAUUCUGCAUUCCUGUGUAUAUCUAGCAGCGUAGGUUCCAGUCUGGCCAGGUACAGGUCAAGGACAGGAGCUGCAACAGCAGCUGCCGGCUGCUCUACUACAGUGUGGAUUCCCAUUCACAAGUGCUGGG